GAAAUGCGAUAAGUAAUGUGAAUUGCAGAAUUCAGUGAAUCAUCGAAUCUUUGAACGCACCUUGCGCUCCUUGGUAUUCCUUGGAGCAUGCCUGUUUGAGUAUCAUGAAAUCUUCAAAGUAAAUCUUUUGUUAACUCAAUUGGUUUCUACUUUGGUAUUGGAGGUCUUUGCAGCUUCACACCUGCUCCUCUUUGUUCAUUAGCUGGAUCUCAGUGUUAUGCUUGGUUCCACUCGGCGUGAUAAGUUAUCUAUCGCUGAGGACACUGUAAAAGGUGGCCAAGGUAAAUGCAGAUGAACCGCUUCUAAUAGUCCAUUGACUUGGACAAUACUUUUAUGAUCUGAUCUCAAAUCAGGUAGAACUACCCGCUGAACUUAGGC
rnacentral:misc_RNA from 1 species